rnacentral:snoRNA from 8 species
GUGCCCUUUUAAGGUAGACACAGUUUUUUAAGCGGCUAGCACAGAAGGGUAAAGUAAGUCUCCAUAAAACCCGGAGAACAGACAGAAGAGACUGUGAAACUCCUCUUUGGAUGCCAUCUGGAGCCAUAGCA